rnacentral:rRNA from 1 species
GAUGAACGCUAGCUACAGGCUUAACACAUGCAAGUCGAGGGGAAACGAUAGAGAAAGCUUGCUUUUUCUAGGCGUCGACCGGCGCACGGGUGAGUAACGCGUAUCCAACCUGCCCACCACUUGGGGAUAACCUUGCGAAAGUAAGACUAAUACCCAAUGACGUCUCUAGAAGACAUCUGAAAGAGAUUAAAGAUUUAUCGGUGAUGGAUGGGGAUGCGUCUGAUUAGCUUGUUGGCGGGGUAACGGCCCACCUAGCCUACGAUGGAUAGGGGUUCUGAGAGGAAGGUCCCCCACAUUGGAACUGAGACACGGUCCAAACUCCUACGGGAGGCAGCAGUGAGGAAUAUUGGUCAAUGGACGAGAGUCUGAACCAGCCAAGUAGCGUGAAGGAUGAAGGUCCUACGGAUUGUAAACUUCUUUUAUAAGGGAAUAAAACCUCCCACGUGUGGGGGCUUGUAUGUACCUUAUGAAUAAGCAUCGGCUAACUCCGUG